UUUCCAGCACUUUCUCAAACGCCAUUGAUAGUGCUCAAUUAGUGACACACCGUUCAGAUCUUCAACUGAAUCACUUCAAUCGAAGUAGUAAAAUGCUCCAAUCGAAGUCGAUUUGUGAAUAUAGGGUGGUUUUCCGAUGAGAUUGAAGAAUUAGGGUUUUUUUGGGGGGGUUUUUUUUUACUUUUUUUUUGUAAUAGAGAAGAAGGAAUAGCGGGUAAAACGAGAACGAAGAAAAAAAGAGAGAGAAAGAAAGUAAAGUGAGGUUUUUCGAAAAGAAAAGAAAAAUAAAAUCGAAACUAAAUUCUCUGAAAUUCUCUGAAAAGAAAUCCUAUUACUCUGAAACUAAAU
rnacentral:lncRNA from 1 species